UGGUUUGUGUACGUGAGUGAAGCCAACAAUUAUUUUUAGGGUUCGUCGUCUCAAUGGACGGAUCAGGUCUAACAUCAAUCGUGGCUCUGCAACUCUCAUAGAUUCGCGUCGGUGUGUAUAUGUCGAUUCGAGUCAUUUUGAUCUUGAUUAAUCUCCUCUCAGGCGUUACAAGCUGCAUUCAUUCGUCGUCAUCAAUGAAAUAUUUUUACACACUAAAACCACAAUUAUGAAUUCAAUUGUUCUUAUCUCUCUUCCAAGUGGUGGAUCUACAUCUAUAAAAAAGGUUGCUGGGUGUGGACAUACUCUUCCUCGACUCUCAGGUUUUCCUUAGUACGUGUGUUUCAGCCAUCGCGAAAGCAAUGAAUCACUCACUCGCUCACCAACCAACAACACAAACACAAAAGCGGUGACGUGAUUCAUCUGGCCUUGCAACGAUACCGUAAGUGGUACCAAAACUGAAACGUCUUCGGGUGAUGGGCCUACAAGAAGUAGUGGCUCAUCAAGGGAAGAAGAGGAAGAUGCAAAUCAUUCGGAUGAGGUCUGAGUAAGUAGACUAUUUCAGCAUAAAUAUCUGAUGACUGAAGGAAUAAUUAACGUACCAGUUUAUAAGAUUACAUUCUAAGAUAUAUUUGAAAACUGAGGGAUGGUCGUGUCUGUAGUUUCCUUGAGUAACUACAACCAUGGUACCCAUGGAGUUCUGAUUCUAAUUCCAGCUCAUGUGAACUUAGCGGAGGAGAAGCUGAUGCUCUGCGACAGUGACACAUGGCAGGAGAGUUAAGGAGGGGGUUGUUCAACUCGCUCCUUUGAGAUGGAUCGGUGAUCGAGGCAGUCGCACCAGAGACAUUUGAGGUUAUGUCUGUCAUCCACAUCCUCUUCCCAACUCAUAUCUUAAAUCCAUAACCGCUCUUUGACAUGGAACACUGUUGCUCAAUGGCCACAAAAAGAUUCCGAGAGAGCAGAGGAACAUAUGGGAUCUGAGGGGUCAAGAGCUGCAGAUAUGCCAGCGAUAGCCACAUAGUACAGCCGUGUGACGAAAUGGCCAAGCUACAGGGCGUCUGCAGAUUUAUUUGAAGAAAAAGAGGAACAGACAGAUGAGAAGAGUGGACAGCAGAAGUGUCUGAGACUCUUACGAUCCCAUUAACACACUAAAAAACUAAAUGCAUAUAAAGUAUGUGUCUUGCUUUCUUUUUCUUCUCUUUACUCUGUGGGUUUUUUGCUAUUCUUGCGAUUAGGGUUUUAGGUCUACUGUUAGUGUUAAUUGAGGGGUUUUUUUUUCCGAUUCCCAGUAUUGCUGGACUGAUGGAAACACUCAGUGAGCAAGACAUCAAUAAUAUAGUCAUCAGCAGUUCAAAUUUAUGUUUGUUACUUUGAUUGACUUUCCAUUCAAUGAUCCUGUAAACUUAGGUUUUUAGCUAAGGUCUCAUUUUCCUUACCUGACUUAUAAUGUAUUAAAUAAACACUUGACAAAAUAAAAAUAUAAACACACGUAAAACCCGCAUGGGUUAACAAUCA